rnacentral:misc_RNA from 1 species
UCAACCAGGUAGCAUUCCUCUUUGCUGCCGGCACCGCUUGAACAAAAGGACUGAUACAAUCCUCCGAUCAAAACGGGACACGUCAGGCUUCCGUAAGGAACAAUUUAUUCGGGCAAAAAAGGGACCAAGGACCCCGACCGAUCACGCAUCUACAUACAAGACUUCAAGCGGCACUUGGGCAUCCGAUGCUUGCAAGCUAAACAAGCCAAACAAGGGCGGACGUCCCUAGGAGCUUCGGGGUCUACGUCGCACAAACCAUCUUGCACGAGAUAGAGUAGAGGUCAUGGGACUAGAGAAUUCCAUCAAAUAGGUAUGCUGCACAGGGGUCCUAGCCAAUCCAAGGCAAAAUAUUAAGCACUCGGACAGAAUUGAACAGGUAUGAAACAAUGAUUGUCGCUGCCAAGGCAGGGAACCAACCAACCGAGACAUGCCAAG